rnacentral:rRNA from 1 species
UCUCCUGGAAACGGGUGGUAAUGCCGGAUGUUCCACAUGAGCGCAUGCGAGUGUGGGAAAGGCUUUUUGCGGCAUGGGAUGGGGUCGCGUCCUAUCAGCUUGUUGGUGGGGUAACGGCCUACCAAGGCGUUGACGGGUAGCCGGCCUGAGAGGGCGACCGGCCACAUUGGGACUGAGAUACGGCCCAGACUCCUACGGGAGGCAGCAGUGGGGAAUAUUGCACAAUGGGCGCAAGCCUGAUGCAGCGACGCCGCGUGCGGGAUGGAGGCCUUCGGGUUGUAAACCGCUUUUGUUCAAGGGCAAGGCACGGUUUCGGCCGUGUUGAGUGGAUUGUUCGAAUAAGCACCGGCUAACUACGUGCCAGCAGCCGCGGUAAUACGUAGGUGCAAGCGUUAUCCGGAUUUAUUGGGCGUAAAGGGCUCGUAGCGGUUCGUCGCGUCCCGUGUGAAAGUCCAUCGCUUAACGGUGGAUCCGCGCCGGUACGGCGGGCUUGAUGCGGAGGGAGACUGAAUUCCCGUGUAACGUGGAAUGUGUAAUAUCGGGAAAACAC